rnacentral:rRNA from 1 species
GUCUGAUGUGAAAGACCUUCGGCUUAACCGGAGAAGUGCAUCGGAAACUGGAUAACUUGAGUGCAGAAGAGGGUAGUGGAACUCCAUGUGUAGCGGUGGAAUGCGUAGAUAUAUGGAAGAACACCAGUGGCGAAGGCGGCUACCUGGUCUGCAACUGACGCUGAGACUCGAAAGCAUGGGUAGCGAACAGGAUUAGAUACCCUGGUAG